UACGAAGGGUGCAAGCGUUACUCGGAAUUACUGGGCGUAAAGGGCGUGCAGGUGGUCUGUUAAGUCUGGCGUGAAAGCUCCUGGCUAAACCGGGAGAGGUCGUUGGAUACUGGCGGACUAGAGGACGGUAGAGGCGUGUGGAAUUCCGGGUGUAGUGGUGAAAUGCGUAGAGAUCCGGAGGAACACCAGUGGCGAAGGCGACACGCUGGGCCGUACCUGACACUGAUACGCGACAGCAUGGGGAGCGAACGGG
rnacentral:rRNA from 1 species